rnacentral:tRNA from 1 species
ACCUUCGUGGUGUAGUGGUCUGCAUGCUAGACGCGUAAUCGAGAGGUCCGUGGUUCGAUUCCCGGCUAAGGCG